UACGAAGGGGGCUAGCGUUGUUCGGAAUUACUGGGCGUAAAGCGUGCGUAGGUUGUUAUUCAAGUUAGUGGUGAAAGCCCAGAGCUUAACUCUGGAACUGCCAUUAAAACUGAAUAGCUAGAGAGUGUUAGAGGUGAGUGGAAUUUCUAGUGUAGGAGUGAAAUCCGUAGAUAUUAGAAGGAACAUCAAUGGCGAAGGCAGCUCACUGGGUCACAUCUGACACUGAGGCACGAAAGCGUGGGUAGCAAACAGG
rnacentral:rRNA from 1 species